rnacentral:lncRNA from 1 species
UCUCUCCUGCUGCAUUGUGAAGAAACUGCUUGCUUCCCUCUCACCCUCUGCAGUUUCCUGAGGCCUCCCCAGCCAUGCGGAACUCCUGCUUCCAUAUUGUAAACUGCCUUGGAACCAAUUACCACUACCAGGGAGACAAACUAUUGCUUAGAGGAUGCUGACAGGAGCAGCAUGUCAAAAUUGAAAGAAGGAGGAAGUUUAAGCUCUCCUCACUAUGAGUUUUCAAGUAUAAAAGACUUUUUCUUCCACGAUGUUGAGAACAACUGUGGACUGUUGUGACCAGGACAACAGGGAAGCUUGCAGCAAGAUAGCUCCAGGUUGGAUUCAUGCUUCGCACCCCAAGGGCUGCCAGCCAGAGAGGAGGAGAAGCAAUCACUCCUGCAGUUUCUGAACACUACACAGACGCCAGGUAGCUUCUUCAGGACAACAGCCCUCUGAGGAGGCAGGAAGAGGAGGCUUCUCUUUCAGCAGCCGGAGCUGCUGAGAUCUCUGGGCAGAUUAAGCUCUCUCUAAUGGAUGGGCUCCAGCCUGGCACACUCAGUGGAGAGGGAUCCACUCGUCCAUCAUCAACACAAUAUGGUCCUCCCUUCACUUCACAGAGUCCUCUUGCUAUUGAAAAGGCUUUUUUGCCUUCUCAAGUUUCUUUGUCAACAGUCUACAGGAAGAAGCUCAGGCCGCCACCGGCAGAGGUGAAUGCAAGCUCACGUUUUAUUUCUGACUGCUUAAUCAUUGCCUCGAUCACUGCUCAAGCUCUGCCUUUGUUUCCAAAGGUUACAUGUGGGAAAACUUCUUUUUCUAUGCUGAAAUUAAUAGGGAGGCAAAGAUGAGUCCACUGAUAAGCAGAGCCUUAAAACUCACAUAGAGAAAGAACUUUGCUGGAGUGUGUGU